AGCUUUAUAGUCAACGAUGAUACUAGAUUGCAAAUUUAGGGGUAAAGUUAAUACUUUUAAGGCUU
rnacentral:tRNA from 1 species